AGCGAACGCUGGCGGCAGGCUUAACACAUGCAAGUCGAGCGGGCCCUCCGGGGUCAGCGGCAGAUGGGUGAGUAACGCGUGGGAACGUGCCCUUCUGUUUGGGAUAACUCAUUGACACUUGAGCUAAUACCGGGUACGCCCUGAUAGGGCAUGGUCUGCUCCCCUAGGAUAGGCCCGCGUCUGAUUGGCUAGUUGCUGAGGUUAGGGCUCACGAAGGCUACGAUCAUUAGCUGGUCUGAGAGGCUCAUAAGCCACACUGGGACUGAGACACGGCCCAGACUCCUACGGGAGGCGGCAGUGGCGAAUCUUGGACAAUGGGGUGAAUCAUGAACCAGCCCUGCCGGGAGAGUGAUGUCGGCCUUAGGGAUGUACAGCUCUUUUCUACGCGACGAUACUGACGGUACCGGAGGAAUAAGCCCCGGCUAACUUCGUG
rnacentral:rRNA from 1 species